rnacentral:rRNA from 1 species
GACGAACGCUGGCGGCGUGCCUAACACAUGCAAGUCGAACGGAAAGGCCCUGCUUUUGUGGGGUUCUCGAGUGGCGAACGGGUGAGUAACACGUGUGUAACCUGACCUUGAUUUUGGGAUAACAUCAGGAAACGGGGGCUAAGACAGGACAGGAGCCCCUGUUGCAUGGUGGGGGUUGGAAAGUUUCGGCGGUUGGGGAUGGACGCGCGGCUUAUCAGCUUGUUGGUGGGGUAGUGGCUUACCAAGGCUUUGACGGGUAGCCGGCCUGGGAGGGUGACCGGCCACAUGGGUACUGAGAGACGCCCCAGACUGCAACGUGGGGCAGCGGGGGGAAACCUUGCACAAUCGGCCGAAGCCGGAUGCAGCGGCGUCGGGUUCGGGAUGACGGUCUUCUGGUAAUAAACCGCUUUCGCCUGUGACGAAGCGUGUGUGACGGUAAUGGAUAAAGAAGCACCGGCUAACUACGUG